ACUACAAUAGAAUUAGGUUAUAGGGACACAUGUUUGGGACACUUUUGAGUAAGUGUCCCAUUUAUGCUAAAACUUAAAAAAACAUCUACUAAUACCUAAAUAUAAAGCCCAAUGCAACCAAAAAUAAAAGAUUACUCUACUAAACCCACCACACCCAGUCCAUUUGGCCCGAUUACAAACAGAAAAGAAUAAAAAAAGAAAAAUCAAUUACCAUCUUUUCUUCUCUCUUCACUCAAUUCACUGAAAUUCUAGACGAAGAGCCUUUCCUGUCGUCGUCCUCCGCCAUCGCAGCCAACGAGAUAGAGUUUCGGUGGUUGCUAAAUGCUUAAAUAAGUGUUGGUAAAUUAGUAGCACUCUUUUAUAUUAUAGCGACACUCUUUAACUGUCACUAUAUACCUAGCGACCCCACAUAUAGCAACACUUUUCAAAAGUGUCGGUAAUUUUAGCUAGCAGCACUUUUUUGAUAGGUACAUUUAAAAGUGUCGCUAUAGACCGUUUUUGUUGUAGUGCGGGGCGUGACAGCUGCCCUCCGGGACGUCACGGUCGCCGUCACCCCGCUCUCUUCUCUAGCAUCAUCGCGCUCUCCUUCAUCUCCACAUCGCUCGUCGCCGGC
rnacentral:lncRNA from 1 species